ensembl:lncRNA
UCACGAGGUGAGGAGAUCGAACUCCAGAAUAGGAUUGCACUGUUAUCCCUAGGGUAAAUUAUUCCAUUGAUCAAACUACUGGAUCAAUAUAUAUUGAUACGCUUAGACUAGUACAGUUUUAGUUUAGGUUACUCAGAGGUGGAAUCACGCUCCGAGGUCAUCCCAACCGAAAUUUUUGAUGCAGGCUAGGGCCUAUAGGCUGUUUGAAUUUCUAUUUGCAUUAAUAAAAUGAAGCUCCAUAAGGUCUUCUCGUUUUAUUUCUCUACAUCCGCUUCUUCCCAGAUAGGUCAAUUUCACUGAUGAAAAGUAAGAGACAGCUGAACCCUCAUGUGGCCAUUCAUACAAGUCACUAUUAAUACAGUGAUAUGGAGCUUUUUUCAGGGGAGUGAUUCAUUGGACAGGUGAUAUUGGCUUGACAGGAUUAUAAGAGGAAGUAGUCAAGCUGUUAAGAUUAGAAGGGGUGUUGUCAGCAGGUCAGAAAAGAAAAUUAAUGAGAAGUUGUAUAAAUUAUCAUUAAACUGGUUAAAAUAUAGUACGGUAACGAGGCUGAUGAGUAGGCUGUAAGUAGUCAUGUAAAUUCAGAUCAAAGUAUUUUUAGAGAAUCAUGUCAUUGGUAGCAGUAUAAUUGUUGGAAUAAUAAUUUUUAGCAUUGAAGUAAAUUUAUAUUUUGUACAAAAUCUAGGCUAUAUGUGUUGGAGAUUGAAACUAGUAAGGCAAGGCCCACUGCGGCUUCACAGGCAGCGAAUGCUUGGAGGAUGAUGGGUAUUAUGGAUGCUAGAGCAAAAUGUAGAAAAGUGAUGGCUACCAGGAAAAAUUUCAUGGAAAAGCGGAGGCAGGAGGAGGUUAUUGGGUAAAAUCCACAUUCAUAGGGGCUGGAUUUUUUCUAUAUAAAUUUUAAGUUGUGGGAGUCAGAAUAUAAUUAUAAGUAGUCAUAGGGCCAGUAGUGUGUCAGUAACUAUGGCCUGUGUCCACUUAAUUACUCUCUUUUAGGUAUUCUCAAAACUAAUUAAUUGGAAGUCAAUGUACUGAUUAUACUAAGAGAGUAGGAUCCUCAUCAGUAGAUAAAGAUAUAUAAAAACAGCCAUACUACAUCUAGGAAAUGUCAAUACCAGGUGGUGGCUUCAAAGCCAAAGUGGUGUUUGGAUGUAAAGUGGAAUUUUAAUUGGUGGAGGAGGCAGAUAGUAAGACAUGUUGACUCAAUAAUAACGUGAAGUCCAUGAAAGCCUGUGGCUAUAAAGAAUUUUGAGCCACAGAUUCCAUCAGAAAUAGGAAAUGGGGCUUUGAAGCAUUCUGAGAUGAUUUGUAGUAGGGUAAAGUAAAUUCCUAAGGUAAUUGUGAUGAAUAGUGCCUGAAUUAUCUGCUUUCAAUUACCUUCUAUUAGACUGUGGUGAGCUGAAGAAACUGAGACUCCUGAUGCAAGUAAUACAGAUGUGUUUAGGAGGGGAACUUUUAAGGGGUUGAGGGGAAAAAUGCCUGUUAGGGGUCAAUGUCCUCCUAAUUCUGAAAUUGGGGCUAGACUAGAGUGGUAGAAUGCCCAGAAGAAAUCAGCAAAGAAGAAUAUUUCUGAGAUAAUAAAUAGAAUUAUUCCAUAUAUCAGAGUCCUUUUUGGACUAUUGUUGUAUGGUGGCCUUGAAAUGUACU